GCCGUUGUGGUGCAGAUGGUUAAGAACUUGGCUGCUAACCAAAAGGCUGGUGGUUAAAACCUACCCAGUGGCU
rnacentral:tRNA from 1 species